CCUACGGUAGACAGCAGUGGGGAAUAUUGCGCAAUGGGCGAAAGCCUGACGCAGCGACGCCGCGUGAGGGAUGAAGGUCUUCGGAUCUUAAACCUCUGUCAGCAGGGAAGAACGGUCACUGUGCUAAUCAGCAGUGAAUUGACGGUACCUGCAAAGGAAGCACCGGCUAACUCCGUGCCAGCAGCCGCGGUAAUACGGAGGGUGCGAGCGUUAAUCGGAAUUACUGGGCGUAAAGCGCUCGUAGGCGGUAUGUCAAGUCAAGGGUGAAAUCCCCGAGCUCAACGUGGGAACUGCCUGUGAAACGGGCAAACUGGAGUGUGUGAGAGGAUAGUGGAAUUCCAGGUGUAGGAGUGAAAUCCGUAGAUAUCUGGAGGAAAAUCAGUGGCGAAGGCGACUAUCUGGCACAUAACUGACGCUGAGGAGCGAAAGCGUGGGUAGCAAACAGGAUUAGAUACCCGGGUAGUC
rnacentral:rRNA from 1 species